GGCUCAGGAUGAACGCUAGCGGCAGGCUUAAUACAUGCAAGUCGUGGGGCAGCAUGAGUAGCAAUACUUGAUGGCGACCGGCAAACGGGUGAGGAACACGUACACAACCUUCCUUCAAGCGGGGAAUAGCCCAGAGAAAUUUGGAUUAAUACCCCAUAAUAUAUUUGAUAAGGCAUCUUAUUAAUAUUAAAGCUUCGGCACUUGAUGAUGGGUGUGCGGCUGAUUAGAUAGUUGGCGGGUAACGGCCCACCAAGUCUACGAUCAGUAGCUGAUGUGAGAGCAUGAUCAGCCACACGGGCACUGAGACACGGGCCCGACUCCUACGGGAGGCAGCAGUAAGGAAUAUUGGACAAUGGACGAAAGUCUGAUCCAGCCAUGCCGCGUGAAGGAUUAAGGUCCUCUGGAUUGUAAACUUCUUUUAUAUGGGACGAAAAAGGGCAUUCUUGUUCACUUGACGGUACCAUAUGAAUAAGCACCGGCUAACUCCGUG
rnacentral:rRNA from 1 species